ensembl:ncRNA mir-2495 mir-2495 stem loop
UGUAUGAUCACAUUGGCUUGUGGGCGUGGCACUUCAAUUGGGCUGACUUUGCCUGGCUGGAAAAGCGGCACCUAAUUGAAAUGCCCGCCGAUCAGUGCUCGAUUACGAUCGACAC